rnacentral:ncRNA from 1 species
UCAUUGGAGAGUUUGAUCCUGGCUCAGGACGAACGCUGGCGGCGUGCCUAACACAUGUAAGUCGCACGGGACUCGGGGGGCAACUCUCGAGUUCAGUGGCAGACGGGUGCGUAACACGUGAGAAACCUGUCCGACGGCGGGGGAUAGCCGGCCCAACGGCCGGGUAAUACCGCAUACGAUCAUUCGGGGGCAUCCCUGAAUGAAGAAAGCAGCCGCAAGGUUGCGCCGAUGGA